rnacentral:ncRNA from 1 species
CAACGUUUUGGUCCCAGACAUUCUAUUACCUAGGGCCAUAAUUACACAUGCAAGCCUCCACAGCCCAGUGCCGCAUGCCCCACCGCUAUACUCUUUUAGCCCGGGAGUAGGUAUCAGGCACGCAAGGCAGCCUAUGACACCAAGCCAAUGCCACACCCCCACGGCACCCAGCAGUGAUCAACAUUAAGCAAUGAGCCACAAACAACUUGACUUAGCAACAGCCCUACGGGCCGGUAAACUCCGUGCCAGCCACCGCGGUUAUACGGAGGGCCCAAGAUAAUACCACACUCGGCGUAAAGCGUGUUCAGACUAAGCCCCCUCCAUGACACACUUCGUCUAUAAAGCAGUAAAAUGCCCAAAUAUACGACCAACUCCACCAAACACCACUGAGAUCGCCAAUUUGACACACGAAAACUAAGAUACAAACUAGGAUUAGAUACCCUACUAUGCUUAGCCGUAAACCAAGGCAGCCCUAAAACACCCUGCCCGCCAGAACACUACGAAAUAAAACUUCAAACUUAAAGGACUUGACGGUGUUGCAAACCAACCUAGAGAAGCCUGUCCCAUAAUCGAUAACCCACGUUUUACCCUGCCCCCCCUAGCCACUCAGUCUAUAUACCGCCGUCGCAAGUCUACCUUUUGAAAGCGUCACAACAGGCAGAAUCGUCUAUCACAAACACGUCAGGUCAAGGUGUAACUAAUGGGGGGGAUGCAAGAUGGGCUACAUUUUCUCUUCCAGGGCCAACCACAUGCCCCCCGAAAUGGGGGCAAAAAGCUGGAUUUAGCAGUAAGUGCAACAAACAUGUUGCACUGAAAUACGCGCUGCAACACGUACACACCGCCCGUCACCCCCAUCACCUACAACCCAUCAACUAACUAAGCCAAAGGACAGACCAACCAGAUGGGGCAAGUCGUAACAAGGUAAGCGUACUGGAAGGUGCGCUUGGAAG